rnacentral:tRNA from 3 species
AAAUUGUUAGCUUAGCUAGUUAGAGCAUACGGCUCAUGACCAUUAGGUUGAUGGUUCGAAUUUAUCAUAGUAGU